rnacentral:rRNA from 1 species
GUUUGGUCCCUAUCUGCCGUGGGCGUCGAAAUUUGAGAGGAGUUGACCCUAGUACGAGAGGACCGGGUUGAACGUACCUCUGGUGUACCUGUCGUCGUGCCAACGGCGCAGCAGGGUAGCUAUGUACGGACGGGAUAACCGCUGAAAGCAUCUAAGCGGGAAGCCUCCCUCGAGAUAAGAUUUCACUGGGGUCUUGGGUCCCCACAGCCCUAGUGCGUUGUCUAGGAAAAGAGCGUAGAUCUCGGCUGG